CCUACGGGUGGCAGCAGUGAGGAAUAUUGGUCAAUGGGCGCGAGCCUGAACCAGCCAAGUCGCGUGAGGGAAGACGGUCCUAUGGAUUGUAAACCUCUUUUGUCGGGGAGCAAAAGACGCCACGCGUGGCGUUCCGAGCGUACCCGAAGAACAAGCAUCGGCUAACUCCGUGCCAGCAGCCGCGGUAAUACGGAGGAUGCGAGCGUUAUCCGGAUUUAUUGGGUUUAAAGGGUGCGCAGGCGGAAGAUCAAGUCAGCGGUAAAAUUGAGAGGCUCAACCUCUUCGAGCCGUUGAAACUGGUGUUCUUGAGUGAGUGAGAAGUAUGCGGAAUGCGUGGUGUAGCGGUGAAAUGCAUAGAUAUCACGCAGAACUCCGAUUGCGAAGGCAGCAUACCGGCGCUCAACUGACGCUCAUGCACGAAAGUGUGGGUAUCGAACAGGAUUAGAUACCCCUGUAGUC
rnacentral:rRNA from 1 species